AGAAAAUUAAGUGGAGACAGGAUAUGUAAACUAGAUGAUGAAAAUUUUAGUAAUAUAAUGACAUCUGAUAUUGUAUGUUUAUCAGAGACACAUGCCUCCUCAAAGGAUAUUUUAUUUUAUAAUGGAUACAAAUGUUUUACUAACUGCAGACAGUCUAAAACUAAUAGAGUAUGGGGUGGUUUAGCCACUUUUAUUAAAAGGGAAAUUUUGCAAGGUGUUAAAUUAAUUGAUAAAACAAUGAGUGACAUGAUGUGGUUUAAACUUGACAAAAAUUAUUUUGGCUUUGAGAAAAAUCUAUUCAUCUGCUCCAUGUAUAUACCGCCCAGUAACUCAUCAUACACUAUGCGAACUAAUUGC
rnacentral:lncRNA from 1 species